rnacentral:rRNA from 1 species
UAGGGAAUUUUCGUCAAUGGGGGGGAACCCUGAACGAGCAAUGCCGCGUGUGUGAAGAAGGUCUUCGGAUCGUAAAGCACUGUUGUAAGUGAAGAAUGCCAUAUAGAGGAAAUGCUAUGUGGGUGACAGUAGCUUACCAGAAAGCCACGGCUAACUACGUGCCAGCAGCCGCGGUAAUACGUAGGUGGCAAGCGUUAUCCGGAAUCAUUGGGCGUAAAGGGUGCGUAGGUGGCACGAUAAGUCUGAAGUAAAAGGCAACAGCUCAACUGUUGUAUGCUUUGGAAACUGUCGAGCUAGAGUGCAGAAGAGGGCGAUGGAAUUCCAUGUGUAGCGGUAAAAUGCGUAGAUAUAUGGAGGAACACCAGUGGCGAAGGCGGUCGCCUGGUCUGUAACUGACACUGAUGCACGAAAGCGUGGGGAGCAAAUAGGAUUAGAUACC